AGUGAACGCUGGCGGUAGGCCUAACACAUGCAAGUCGAACGGCAGCACAGUAAGAGCUUGCUCUUACGGGCGGCGAGUGGCGGACGGGUGAGGAAUACAUCGGAAUCUACUUUUUCGUGGGGGAUAACGUAGGGAAACUUACGCUAAUACCGCAUACGACCUACGGGUGAAAGCAGGGGAUCUUCGGACCUUGCGCGAUUGAAUGAGCCGGUGUCGGAUUAGCUAGUUGGCGGGGUAAGGGCCCACCAAGUAGACGAGCCGUAGCUGGUCUGAGAGAAUGAUAAGCCACACUGGAACUGAGACACGGACCAGACUCCUACGGGAGGCAGCAGUGGGGAAUAUUGGACAAUGGGCGCAAGCCUGAUCCAGCCAUCCCGCGUGCGUGAAGAAGGCAUUCGGGGUGUAAAGCCCUUUUGUUGGGAAAGAAAAGAAGCAGGUUAAUACCCAGCUGUUCUGACGGUACCAAAAGAAUAAGCACCGGCUAACUUCGUG
rnacentral:rRNA from 1 species